rnacentral:lncRNA from 10 species
GAGAGGCUGUGGAGAGCAAAAUGCUUGGCACUGAGCCAGUUAGACUAAAUCAGUUGGGAGAGGGAGGGAGCAGGAAAGCUGUUAUAUCGUCCUUCCUUCUUUGAACUGCACUAUAAAUCUGCUAGACAGGAAAUGGGAUUGGGAGGGUAGAGGAGGGGGCUGUACAGUGAGGCUGGACUGGGGCCUGGGAUACCACCACCCUCGCAGCCUGGCUCAGGUGAGGCCCUGCCCUGAAGGUGGGGUGAAGGGGGCCUCACUUGGGGCUGGGGGUGAGGCACACUGGUGGGUGUUCAGAGUUGUCUGGGUCAGCUAGGGUAUGGGCUGACUGUAUCUGCCCUCGUGUUAUUUCUGGGCCCCUUCAGAUCCUCCAACUAAAACCACCAUCGGUGGAACAGCUUUUAGGACUGGAAGAGACUUCAGAGACCCUGUAAUUAGGGUUUUGAGGACAAGAGAGGGAAAAUAAAUUACCCAAAGCCACAUACCUUAUGAGAACUGGAAGUGGGGAUGGGACUUUUGACCUAGGACACGAUGGCUGUGCACUGGCUCUCUCCCCUUCUUAUUGCUGUCUCUUGGCUUUCUUGGGGGCACAAACUUUUCAUUCCAGAGUAAAGGUAAGAUAUAAAAUGCAGAUGUAUGUAAGUAAAAUGACAUACAGUCAAUUCACACUAAGAGCUAAAUAAUUGAUAUUUAGCACUGUUACUGAGUAGAGAUUUUGAUGAGCAGAAGGCCCCUGUGCUCCGUGGAGGUGUCCUUCUGACCGUGGGGGAAGUUGAGACCUGGGAUGUACCUGAAACAGAACCUGCUCCCUCCCAGGGAAGAGUGAAAACAGGACACCUGACUAAUGACAUCUCAUAUUUAUCAAUUUACAGCAUUUCUCCAGAAAGGUCUAGAUACCAGCCUUAGGGGAACCUCAUUAUUGUUGGAUUAAACUUAUGCCUACCCAUGCAUCUAUAAGCCAAGGAACCUCUCCUGUUUUUUAUCUCUCCUUUUCCCUCCUAUAACACUCCUGAGGCUGCCUCUCAAAUGUAGGAACCAAUAGGUGAGAACCAUGUAAGAUCUUCGUAUAUACUCCUGAACCCUGAAUUAAGUUAAGGAAUAGCCAUAGCCUGUAUUUAUUUUGCUUUUUUUUUUUUUUCAAGCACUAUACUAGCAUUAUCUUAUGUCAUCUUGAAAACUAUUAUUAUCAUCAUCCCCAUUUCACAAUGAGGAGAAUGAAGCUCAGAAACGUUAAAUGAUUUGCCUAAGAUCACCCAGGUGUCAGGGCCAAGAUUUGAACCAAGGUAGGCUUAUUCUAGAGACUAUGCUUCACAUACCUCAUACUGCUUCCACUGGCAGAAAUGAAGUUUUGGGAAGUAUAGAGGGAAAUAAUAGAAUUUUGUCCAGUAGCAAGAAUGAGGAACACACUGUUUAUUGCCUGGGCUAGAGGAGUCAGAGUGUGAGGAGUGUCAGGCCUUGGAGAGUGUUUGGCUGAGAGCUGAAGUUGGCGUGGGAUUUCCAUGUUCCAUGGCUGGUGUUUGGCAUAUAUUUCUGCUUUUCUGGGCAAAUAGCCUAAAUCUCCUCUUUACUUCUCUUGGAUAGGGUCUUAGGCCAAAAAUGCCAUACUGCCCCCAUUCCGUUCUUGCCUCAAAUCUGUCACUUAGCUCAUUUCAGUGGCUUAAACCUGCAAUUUUUUGAUGUCUACUGAAUGCAAAUAAAGCUGAUUCUUGACACCGAGGAACAGUUGACACAAGCUCUUUGUUGUUGUUGUUGUUGAUUUCAAAUCCUCCUCCUCUUCACUCUCCUGUUACUUCUCUGUUAUUUACUUUAGACAUUUCAUCACCACCACUAGGAAGCACACAGUGGAAGGAAACCAUGUUUAUUGUGAGCCUUAUGCUGGUAACUAAUUUUGCUAAUAGUGCCACUGGAAAAAGACUAGUGGGGAAGUAGUUUGAGGCUUGGAGAUUACCUUUUUGCCUCUGCAUUCCCUGUAAUCUGAGAUCCCGGAUAAUGUCUAAUGAGCUAUAGAGAAGGGAAACAGAGAGGUGAAUGGUUUGACAACUGCAACUGCUUUCCCAUGAGGCAUUUUCUGAUUUUGAAGCACUAGCAGUUGCUGAGCAGCUGAGCAGAACUCGUGGCAGCCUUACAGGCCUGAUGGGACAAAAGUUGGGAUUCAAGAAUUGUCAAGGGGAAGGGUCCUAAUAAACAUCCCAGUCUUUCAGAUGGGAGCCUUGAAAGGCUAUAUACUGGUAAUAAAGCUAGUCUGGUAAUAGACUAGCACUAACAAAGACUGAAACCCAGAUCUGAAUCAUUUUGAUUUCAGAUUAGAUUAAAGAGAUAUUCUCCUAGCAAACUGCCUGCUAGAAACAAAAGUAAAUUCACUCUAGAGGAAGAUAUCUGCUAGAACCUUAAAUUAUCACUACAGUUUUUCAUGCAUAGUUUCUGGCAUGAACUUUUCAAAAACUACCAGGCAUACCAGGAGAUAGGACCAAAUGACUGAAUACCAAGAGAAAAAAAAAAUGUUAUGAUUUUAAAAGAUAUGUAGAGUCUGCCUUAAGAAGAACCAAAUUCUAGGAAAACUGUAGGACUGAAAUUAAGAACUUGGUAGAAGGGCUUAAAAGCAGAUUAGACACAAGUGAAGAGAAUAUUCAUGAACUUGAAUAUAGGUCAGAAGAAAAUAUUUAUUCAGAUGACUAUAAUUAUAACAAGAUAAAAAAUUUAUGAAAUACAGAAAAGAGUCUAAGAGAUAUACAGGACCCAAUGUAAACAUUUGUGUAAUUAGAGAUCUGGAAGGAGAGAAACAAUGUAGCAUAAACAAUAUUUGAAAAGAAAAUGACCGAGGAUUUAAAAACUAACAAAAACAUAAAGCCACAGAUUCAAGAAGUGUUACAAACUCCAAGCAGGGAAAUAACCCCAGAAACAAAUGAAACUACAAUAUACAUCAUAGUAAAACAGCUGAAAAACAAAGGAAAAAUUGCAAAAGUAGCUAGUGUAAAAGAAAAUAAAAAAUACAUUAUACGCAGACACAAUAUUCAGCUAUUUUUUCAACAAAAACAAUGGAAGCCAAAGAACAAAAUUAUGUCUGUAAAGGCAAAAAAGGAAACAAAAAAACCCAAACAAAAAGACAGCUAAACAACCUAAAAUUCUACACCCAGAAAAAAUAUCACUCAAAAAUGAAAGUGAAAUAAAGAGAUUUCCAGACAGACAAAAACUGAGAUGGUUUAUAAGUAGCUGACAGACACUAAAGGAAAAACUAAAUAGUUUUUCAGGUAAAAGGAAAAGAAUUUCAGAUGGAAGCAAGGAGUUGCAGAAAGGAAUGAAGAGCAUUGUAAAGGGUAAACACAUGGGAAAAUCAAAAUUAAUACUGACUGUAUAAAAUAAUAUCUUGAGAGAGAAUAUAUGUAGAAUUAAAAUAAUACACAAAAAAUAAGAAGGAGGAAAAGGGAGUUGACACAUUCCAAUGUCCUUAACAUAGUCCAGGAAUUGAAAAAAGUACUAAUUUAUAUUGAACUUUAAUAAGUCAAGGAUGCAUAUUGUCAUCUUUAAGUCUAGAAGCAUAUAUUUAAUUCCACAGAAAGAGAAGUCUUGUGCUCAUGUUAGAAGGUAGUCUUGAUUUGUCUACCUUCCUCUUUGAGAAAUUUAUUUCUUCCAACAGCCUAAUUGUCAAUCAAUGUUAAAAAAAGAUUAAUGAAAGAUUUUGUAGCGGAAAGGAUUAACCCAUAGAUCUCAUUAUCCCAAGUAAUGACACAAGAUAAAAAUAAUAAAUAGAGCUUUUUUUAAAGUUUUGGAUAAAUUCCUGGAUGUGAGAUCCAUAAUUGACUCUGAAAGAGAAACUGGAUGCUGCUUGAGUGUAGCUCCAACCUUUAAA